AAAAAUACAAAAACUUGUGCAAAAAUACUAAAACAAUUAUUCGCCUCAGGCUCUGUGAUUAUCUGGGAAUAUUCACCUCGGCAAAUAUUCCCCGAUAAUCACCUCGCCUUCGGCGAAUAAUUGUUAAAUAUAAUUUUACCAUUCCUUUUUCAAAUAAAUAAAUGUUUUCAAACUCAAUUUGCUGUGUUUGUUUACUGCAGUCAUCAAAUCCCUACUUUAUCUUAUAGUCCACCUUGUGCAUGUGUUCUUAACACUAUUUUAACUGUUGUAUAUUUAGCACAGAUGGAU
rnacentral:lncRNA from 1 species